UAGGUUUGCAAAGGGAUAGGGCUCUCAGAGGAUCCUGUGGAAUGGAGGGAAGAGACUGGACAGCAGGAGGAAAAUGAGCCAGAAAGAGAGUGAGGCUUUCCAGCAGCCAUGGGGAUAAAAGCAUGAACGUGUGGUUGACUGAACGGUCUUUAAAUGUGGAAGAGAGAAGGAGAGGAGUCAGUAUCAGAGUUAGACAACACAAAAAGACUUGACUGGCCAUUGCUGGCUUUGAAGAUUAAAGAGAGCUAUGAACCAAGAAAGAAAAGAUUAUAUUAGGAGUUCUGGAGAAGGAAAGAAGAGGAGGGCGUCAAGUAAAGAGAACAAGAUAGAAUUAGAAGUUUGAAGACAGAACAAGAUAGAAGUUUGUCCCAAUAUGACCAGAUAGAUUAUAGAAGUUUGUUGAUUUCAUGACCAAUGGGGACACAGUAGAGCCUACCCUGCACCUAUGGAAGAUGGCAAGGCCACAAGGUAAAAGACUUCAUGAUAUAUGUGUUAAAACCUGACUGUCCACUUUACCUGGCAGAGAGAUAAACAGAAGUAGAGAUCUACAUUGAUUCACCGAUAAGUGGCUAUUUGGACAAGGAGGCUAGAAAAAAUAAGUCAGAGGCUUGAAGAAAACAGGACUGGUAGACUGGUUAAAAGGAGAUCUGAAGAAGAGUUAUAUGGAUGGGCUUCUCAGAGAGGGGAGAGUGAGGAUAUUGUGUCCCAUAUAAAUGCUUAAUAAAAGACAUCCACUGACAAAAGAUUUUCAAUAAUCAAGUAAACAAUGUGACAAAUCCUGUGGAUAUCAGUUAGCUGUCUUUCCCAGCCACCCUGGUGCUUGUAUAAUGGGCUCAGGAAUAUAAUGGUCCUGGCAACAGUGUGGGCU